UACAGAGGGUGCAAGCGUUGUCCGGAAUCACUGGGCGUAAAGGGCGCGUAGGUGGUUUGGUAAGUGUGUGGUGAAAGCCCGGGGCUCAACCCCGGGUCUGCCGCGCAAACUGCUGAACUUGAGCAUACUAGAGGCAGGUUGAAUUCCGGGUGUAGCGGUGGAAUGCGUAGAGAUCCGGAAGAACACCGGUGGCGAAGGCGGCCUGCUGGGGUAGAGCUGGACACUGAGGCGCGACAGCGUGGGGAGCGAACAGG
rnacentral:rRNA from 1 species